GUCUGGUGACAUAGCUCAGUCAGCAGAGCACGAGACUCUUAAUCUCAAAGUCGUGAGUUCAAGCCCCACACUGGGCA